rnacentral:lncRNA from 1 species
GCACAACAAAGGCGGCGGGCGACGCGUCCCGGGCGGGCUCCGCAGCUGCAAUGCUGAGACUGCUGCCAAAUCCCCCUCUAAGGGACAGUGUGAUCUGAGGGAAGCUGAUCUCCCACCUUCGGAGGACAGCCAGCAGCCCACAGCGAUGUCCGUGGCAACAGAGACCUGGGAGAACAAGCCAAGCAAUGAGACAGCCAGCGCCACUCCACCUGCAGGGAAUGUAAGGGAGAGGAAUUCACCUCUCAUCUUGGGCACGUGUUCAGGAUUUUUUUCCUC